rnacentral:rRNA from 1 species
UGGGGAAUCUUAGACAAUGGGGAAACCCUGAUCUAGCCAUGCCGCGUGAGCGAUGAAGGCCUUAGGGUUGUAAAGCUCUUUCAGCUGGGAAGAUAAUGACGGUACCAGCAGAAGAAGCCCCGGCUAACUCCGUGCCAGCAGCCGCGGUAAUACGGAGGGGGCUAGCGUUGUUCGGAAUUACUGGGCGUAAAGCGCACGUAGGCGGAUUAGUCAGUCAGAGGUGAAAUCCCAGGGCUCAAGCCCUGGAACUGCCUUUGAUACUGCUAGUCUUGAGGUCGAGAGAGGUGAGCGGAAUUCCGAGUGUAGAGGUGAAAUUCGUAGAUAUUCGGAGGG